UUCCAUCCCUGCCUUCUUAUUAGCCUUGUAUUUUCGCCUUCGACGCCUUUUUGCACUCACACCAUUAUCAUUAGGAAGUGCAGCACUUGGUUGACAUGCCAUUUCAAUCUCAUUAAUAUUAUCAGCCUUAUCUUUAGCACCCAAUAUCUGAAGAAGCAAAGAGGAACGUUCAGAAUAUUCCUCACGACUCUUUGAUUCCUCAGGUUUGAUGAAACCAGUGAUUGUAUUUUUGGAUAUGGUAGGCAUAUGCACUUUAUGAAGAUGCUUUGAUAAUCACUUGUAAGUAUGGAGGAGAUGAAUAACUGAGUUGUAAGCUACUAAUGUUAUAUAAAAUGCAUGAAGAGGGGAUGUGGUAGAAGUGAACUCCAUAUAGAUCAUGUAACUUUAGGUCUUUUGAAAUUGUCUUGUAUGAACAAUUUUUUUCAUGCUUGUUGGAAUUAAAGUUUUGCUGCGCUUAUUUUGAAGUUAAUGAUAAUAUGAAAUGGCUUCACCGAAA